UUGUCUCAAAGAUUAAGCCAUGCAUGUCUCAGUACGAGCCACAUUAAGGUGAAACCGCGAAAGGCUCAUUAAAUCAGUUAUGGUUCCUUAGAUCGUACCCACAUUUACUUGGAUAACUGUGGUAAUUCUAGAGCUAAUACAUGCAGAUAGAGCUCCGACCGGAGACGGAAGGAGUGCUUUUAUUAGAACAAAACCAAUCGGCGGCGGGCGCGUUCGCGCGUUCGUUCGCCGCUCUACCUGGUGAAUCUGAAUAACUUUCAGCUGAUCGCACGGUCUCGAACCGGCGACGCAUCUUUCAAAUGUCUGCCUUAUCAACUGUCGAUGGUAGGUUCUGCGCCUACCAUGGUCGUAACGGGUAACGGGGAAUCAGGGUUCGAUUCCGGAGAGGGAGCCUGAGAAACGGCUACCACAUCCAAGGAAGGCAGCAGGCGCGCAAAUUACCCACUCCCGGCACGGGGAGGUAGUGACGAAAAAUAACGAUACGGGACUCAUCCGAGGCCCCGUAAUCGGAAUGAGUACACUUUAAAUCCUUUAACGAGGACCCAUUGGAGGGCAAGUCUGGUGCCAGCAGCCGCGGUAAUUCCAGCUCCAAUAGCGUA
rnacentral:rRNA from 1 species